UGCGUAGGUGGCGGGGUAAGUCUGGUGUGAAAGCUCCGAGCUCAACUCGGAAAAGCAUUGGAAACUAUCCCGCUUGAGGGUCGGAGGGGAGACUGGAAUUCUCGGUGUAGCAGUGAAAUGCGUAGAUAUCGAGAGGAACACCAGUGGCGAAGGCGAGUCUCUGGACGACUCCUGACACUGAGGCACGAAAGCUAGGGAGCAAACA
rnacentral:rRNA from 1 species